UUCAAGCACGCUGAAGUGACUUGCAGCUGGGGUGUAGAAAAACACAUACAUCAUACUAAUUGUUGUUUAGCCUUGUGUGUUUGACAAGUAGAACAUCUGUGUUUAGAUAACAUAAGCCUGUGAGAGACUUAGAGGCACCCUAUCACACAUGCUUGAGAUUCUUGCUCUGCUUCAGGAAAGAUCAAAGCACAAUGGUAAAAUACCUGUGUGAAUCCCUGAUAAACAGGCAAGAACAGCAGGCUUGGUGAUCCCCUUGCAUGGAUCUGUGGUGCCUGUGUCCCACCUGUGUGCUUCUGCCUGGGUGCUGCUUUGGGGAUCCCCUGGUCGGUGAGCAAAGAUAUCCCAUUGCAAGGGAUUAAUGCCAUUAUUCUGGUGUUUGAGGGGCAUUAAGAGAAGGCUGCAAAGGUGGAUGCCGACUGGAUGUGCACCAGGCUCACUGGGGCACCAUCAAUAUUGUCAUUCCUUCAGAAGAUCAGCUACGUGGCAGGCUCCUCGUGACCCGAGGAAGUACUCCUGAAGGAUCACUGCUAAUCCUGAACGCCGCUUUGUAGCAAGCCCCUUAGGAAUGGGGGCAGCGCGCUGUGGGCCGCGCACUUUGCAGGCCGGACAAAACAAAUGUUCCUGUCCCUAAGUGGUCUUCAUCCAACUCUGUUGUUUUCUCCUCACUGAGAACUGAAGAGGAUUACGUUUAGUCACAGAUGGGCACAAGAAAAGACCACAGCUCCCCGUGGGAUUGGGAAGACUUGGCCAGGCUGCAGCAUGCAAGUCAAAGUCUGGAGCAGCACUAGCGCCUAAUUGAAACUAGCCAGACUAUCCAAGAAAGUUGUCUUUUAGUUGCAUAACGAUGGCUUAAGGCUCAUUUAAGUCCUGAGAACCACUUGACUGCUCUGCAGGAAACAAGCCACAGGUGAAAUCUGAUUACAAAUUAAAGUUGGUUUGGGAGGGGGCUUAGAAAAGCGGGAUGAAAGAGGCAGGUGCAGUUGAAGAUAUUUGUGAUGCUGUAUCUUGUUUUCCCAUGGCUUAUCAACACUGUUUGCUACAGACUUGGAAAAGAAGUCAUCCGAGUAGUCUGGAAUGUUGGAACCUUGCAGACCUUGGCAAAGCAGCUUACAGCAACAGAGUGAAUGUGCUUUUGCAUGGAGUCUUCCUCACCCAGAGCAAUCAGGUCUUCUCUGGUUGUCUUCAUUGUUCAACUGUGAGAAAAGACAGCCUUUAUCCACAGUGCACAGCUGAACUUUUGGGGACAGUUACUGGAAACUUUGUAAAGGUUAUAUAUUUAUUUGCUUUCCUGAGAGCUGUUGUGAUCAUUCCAGAGCACUGCAGAAUGAUGUGAUGCAAAUGCACACAGACUGACACAGCUUGUCAAAAACUCAUUUAACUAUAAAUGCACAAAAUAGAAAAAAACCCAAACUGAAAUAUGUAUGUCCUAAAAGCCCUUUUUUGUGAUUGCUGAAUCUGUAGCGUAAUUGAUGUUUUGUUGUAGCUGAGGGAUUACAGAGGAAGAACUUCCCAGCUUUCCUGAAGUUUAAUCCUUGCAUGACACGUUUGUUAACUUGAAUCCCCACGUUACCAGUCUGGAUUGGAUUUGGUGCUACACCAGGUGUACACUUGCCACAAGUGGAAGGUAGAAAAUCCUUGGACGAGGUGAAGAGACGCACUCCCUGUUACUUCAAGUUUUUUCUUUCAUAAUUUCAUUGGUUUUGUGCCUCAUCUGGAAUAUUUUCACAAAUUUUAAAGGCCAUAGCAUAGUUCUACCUUUGUGCUGCAUGCUUUGGCUAAGGUGCUUCCGUAGGAAGUUUAUUUGGUGCUGCUGGUCUGCAGCGUGCUCUCUUCGUAAGGAGGCACUGGGUCUGGAGAGAGCUCAGCGUGAGCCUCUUCCAUGGAAUUCUUCAUGGUGGCCUCCUCAUAUGACGGAGGCAAACACAGAGAGAGGAAUGUGGCAUCAGGAAGCAGCGUGGAGUAGUGGAAGCUCUGUUCACUGCUCCAGGGCAGUGCAGAAAGGAAAUGGGAUACAUCGUGCUCAGGCAGGGCCUCAGGAAGGUCGAUGCUGAAGAUCUGCCCCUGCUGAGGGGGGCGCUGGCAACGGCGGUACAGGAAGAGCAGCAGGAAUGCCAGGAAGAGCAUCAUGGUGGCAGGCAAUAUGAUACACAGAAAUGGUUCUAUGUCGUCUUUGGUUGAACUUGUCUGUUGUCUGCUCUGCAACCAAAGCAAACAGGAAGGAUGUUGGAUUCCAAGAGAUCUCUUAAUCAGAGAGCAAAACCACAUUCCCCAUCUCUACCUUAUGACAUAGCAGUUGCUCUUCCAAAUUUCAUUCUCUCUGCACUAGUGUCAUUCAAGCAGUAUGUUUUGCAGACUCAUAAAUUCUAUUUACUGAUCAAUUAAAGCAAAUCACAGCCAGAGACAAAAAACUCCAGAGAAGUUGCAAAGAGUAUUGAGUUUUUAGAAAACCCUGUCUCCAAUAGGGAAAAAACCCCAACAGCCUGGCAGUGUAUGCUAUUUUGUAUGACAUUUUAUUACCUUGGAUUAUGGCGGACCAGUCAACUUUGAGGGAGAUUGGUCAAGCUUUUAAAAUUUGGGAGAACAUUGAAAUGCAGAUGAAUAAGGCUGGUGAUACACCAUCCGCUGCUGUUUCUUUGUUUUUGGAAAAUUGUGUAAAGAACAAGUAUUACGACAAGUAGCCCUUGCAAACAGGGUCCAUUGCCUACAAUACUUGGUCUUUGGGUUGUUCUAACCUCAUGGGCCAGUUCCAAAUAUAACGUGGUGUUUUUAUUGGACAGGACAGCUUGGACUGGACCUCUUGAGCUUGUUUUACCAGCAAUCCCAGAAUCAUUUUUCCCUGUUUAGAACUAUGAAAAAUGAACUUCUGGUGUAAGAGAAACAACAGUUGUGACUGCUGUGUCAGCCUUGUUGCAAAAUGUAGCACGAAAGACCUCUGUUCCAUGGCUUUUGAAAUGUGAUGUAAUGUUAACCAGAGUUAUAAGCUAUGAGAAAAACCAACAAAGCCAUUUGUGCUCUUGUGUUGUAUAGCUUUAGUUUUAAAUUUUAGCAUAUCUUGUUUCCAGUCUGACUCCAUCUUCUAAUAAUUGUGUCUCAUUCAGAGUCUAGUCCAGGGCAGAAGGAAAACCCAAACCCUAUAAUGCUGUUUAUCAAGUCAUUCCCUUCUGUAAGUUCUUGACAAAUGCUAUGAGGUGGCACAUUUGCGUGGUGAGACUAAAGAGGUCAGUGGAUCAGAUUUCCUUUAUUUUGAGUGAAGGUGCUAGGAGAACUCGAGUGAUUCUUUCCUCAAAGGGUUUGGAAGCAGGGAUGUAAACUGGCCAUUUGCAGCAAUGGAUUUGUGAAGGGGACAGUAACUCCAGUGUCUCCUUCUUAGUCUACAAAACCUUUCUGUUCUUAUUCUUCCAGGAAUUGCAGUCAUUCUUCUAGCUACAAAAUCACACUGUAAUCUGUGUUCCACUGAUUAUCUACCAGGCAUUUGUAACCUCUUCGCUUUGUCAUCAUAUUAUGAAAUUAUUAUUAUUAUGUGGUCAUGCCUAAGAAAAAUAAAGUAAAUAGGCAUUGAAUCCAAAGAAAUAAUAUAGGGAAGAUUACUGUUUUUCUAUUUUUUUCCCCCAAGAUAUUGUGGGUCUGAAACUAAAUACAUGAAAUUAAUUUUAAAAUACACUGAAACCUUUGCAGAUUAGUUAUUAAGCUAUUUUACCCUCCCCCCCCCAACAAACAAACAAACAAACAAAGGCAAAGUAAAGAACUAUUUUAUAUUUGUUGAUAAUUUUUAAUAAGGCAUUUCUGGCUGUACAAACUGUUGUCUUAACUCACCAUUCAAUGAGUGACAGGAAAAAGUCGAAUUGGAAGAAUUUGUUCUGGCCAUUCUUCCAGUGUGGACAUUAAAUAAUUUCUUAAAAAUGAGG